UAUCAUAGAAAGACUGGUUCCUGCACGAACACCGAAGUUAACCAACAUCGAGCCUGGUCAGUACCUAGAUGGGUGACCGCUUGGGAAAACCAGGUGUGGUAAG